UACAGAGGGUGCAAGCGUUAAUCGGAAUUACUGGGCGUAAAGCGUGCGUAGACGGUUAUGUAAGUCAGGUGUGAAAGCCCCCGGGCUCAACCUGGGAAUUGCAUUUGAGACUGCAUAGCUAGGGUGCGGAAGAGGGAAGCGGAAUUUCCGGUGUAGCGGUGAAAUGCGUAGAUAUCGGAAGGAACAUCAGUGGCGAAAGCGGCUUCCUGGUCCAGCACCGACGUCAGGCACGAAAGCGUGGGGAGCAAACAGG
rnacentral:rRNA from 1 species